rnacentral:rRNA from 1 species
GAUUACCUCAGUAACGGCGAGUGAAGCGGUAACAGCUCAAAUUUGAAAGCUGCCAACAGGUCGCGUUGUAAUUUGUAGAAGAUGCUUUGGGUGUUGGCCUAGUCUAAGUUCCUUGGAACAGGACGUCAUAGAGGGUGAGAAUCCCGUAUGUGAUUAGUGCCUCCCCCCGUGUAAAGCUCUUUCGACGAGUCGAGUUGUUUGGGAAUGCAGCUCAAAAUGGGUGGUAAAUUUCAUCUAAAGCUAAAUAUUGGCCAGAGACCGAUAGCGCACAAGUAGAGUGAUCGAAAGAUGAAAAGCACUUUGGAAAGAGAGUUAAACAGUACGUGAAAUUGUUGAAAGGGAAGCGCUUGCAAUCAGACUUGCAGGCGGUUGAUCAUCCGGGGUUUUCCCCGGUGCACUCGAUCGUCUUCAGGCCAGCAUCAGUUCUCGUGGUGGGAUAAAGGCUGUGAGAAUGUGGCUCUUCGGAGUGUUAUAGCUCACGGUGCAAUGCUGCCUACGGGGACUGAGGACCGCGCUUCGGCUAGGAUGCUGGCGUAAUGGUUGUAAGCGACCCGUCUUGAAACACGGACCAAGGAGUCUAACAUCUAUGCGAGUGUUUGGGUGUCAAACCCAUACGCGUAAUGAAAGUGAACGGAGGUGAGAACCCUUUAGGGCGCAUCAUCGACCGAUCCUGAUGUCUUCGGAUGGAUUUGAGUAAGAGCAUAGCUGUUGGGACCCGAAAGAUGGUGAACUAUGCGUGAAUAGGGUGAAGCCAGAGGAAACUCUGGUGGAGGCUCGCAGCGGUUCUGACGUGCAAAUCGAUCGUCAAAUUUGCGUAUA